GACGAACGCUGGCGGCGUGCUUAACACAUGCAAGUCGAACGGUGAAACGCCAGCCUUCUUGAGUGGAUGAUUGGCGAACGCGUGAGUAACACGUGAGCAACCUGCCCCUGACUCUGGAAUAAGCCCUGGAAACGCCGGCUAAAACUGGAUACGAUAAGUGUCCGCAUGGGCACCAUCAGGAAAGUAUUUCGGUAGGGGAUGGUCUCGCUGCCUAUGAGCUUGUUGGUGAAGUAAGGGCUCCCCAAGCCGACGACGGGUAGCCGGCCUGGGAGGGCGACCGGCCACCAGGGGACUGAGGCACGGACCAGUAUCGUACGGGAGGCAGCAGUGGGGAAUAUUGCACAAUGGGCGCAAGCCUGAUGCGGAGGCCCCGCGUGCGGGAUGCCGGCCUUCGGGUGGUAAACCUCUUUCAGCAGGGAAGAAGCGAAAGUGACGGUACCUGCAGAAGAAGCACCGGCUAACUACGUG
rnacentral:rRNA from 1 species